AAUAAGGAAAACAGCGUUCAGGUGUGUUCACAGACCCUGUCCAUGACUAAAAGGUUACUAAUAAAAAGCCAACUCCACAAAACCAGAGAAUGGAGUGACCUAUGUUUUGGUAAAUAAAACGGUUGCUUUCAAAGAGAGAAAAAAGAUUACUACCAUAGAAACCUUUCCAAGCACGUUCAGAGGAGUCCAAAAGCUGCAAAUGCCUGACAUCUUCAGAGCCACAACAGGGCUCCUAAUGACAGGAUAUAAAAGCACGCUUUGAGGCCAAAUGAAGAGAUUUGUUUUAUUUAAUGCUAUGCUUUUUCAGAGGUGCUAAGCAAAAGAAACUAAGGACCUUCCAUCCAGGACACCAGGCUGCAAGCCUCUAGCUGGAGGACAAGCCUCUGGCUCCGAGGCUGAGAGCAACAGAGGAAGGACAGAAGCCAUUUUCAGCAUCUCCUUUCCAAGAUGUGACCCCAGCAUGAAACCUGGAGUCCCAAGUCCUUGGAGAGCUACCGCUGAAGGUUAGAAUGGAGCACCCUUUCCAGACUCGGGGCAGCCUCUUCUGCCCACGUACUGAACUCAAGCUCAAGACUCGAGGUUAACUGUGCUGUCUGCAGAUUCCUUGAACUUGGAGAAGACAUUACAGAUCCAGAAGUCCCGUGAUCAGAAGCACACAUGUGCCGCAGCACUAAAUGACACGUUUAGGAGGGAAAGAGUCUCAUUAAAAGCCAUCCACUAAAGGCACUGUUUGAGGCGAAAGGUAUGAGCCACGCUAGGUCUAGCAAGCCUGAACUCUUUCCAAACAAAGUUUUACACAUUAUUUGAGCUGGCAUUUGAUAUCUUUGGGGAAUGGUGCUAUUUGCCUUAGUACAGUGGGAACGUUACCUAGUAAAUGGCAUUGAGAAUCCAAGUGUUAUAAAACCUGAGCUAAAAGGAUUUCCAUUCAUCAAGCUGUUUGACUCCCAAAAGCAGCGAUCCUCGACCGCUCCCCAGGUCUCUGACAUGCAACCCAGAAAUGGACAAAAUGACGUACACUCUUCCCAGACCUCCCCCGCACACCUGAUCACGGAUGCCUUAAAGAGCCUAAUGGAAUUUUCAGAAAGUCAAGACCACGGACUAAUAGGGGGGAACACACCCAUUCAAACUAACCAUUCUAGUUGUUUAAAAAAAAAAUCAGAGAAAAAAAAAAGAAAGAAAGAAACAGGACCCCAUCUGCCUAGUGAGGGCUUGUAAAUCAAUGCCAAUGGCUGGAAAAUGAUUUCUCAAACUUAUAUUCUCAUUUUGUCCCGCUCGAAUCUCUGCAGGAAAAUCAAUAUUACAACUUCACACUUAAGACAUUUUGCAGCAGCACCGCGAACUGCUGCGGCAGCGGACGGAAGCCCACGGAAGCCCACGGAAGCCUGUCCGGCAGUAGAGGAGGCACCGAGCCGUGGCACGGGCAUCGAGCUCCCCCUAGCUGCCAAGUGGCACCAGGCGGGGCUCGGCGUUCCAGGCUUGCUAUCAACCAAAAGCCAGUUCAACUGAAAGUUUAUUUUGGAGAAGUAUUUUAUCACAACAAGCAACAGAGAAUGCAAAGCGGUCGAGAAAGGAGAUGAAAAGGAAAAAAGGGAAGGCUGGUGCAAGACGUGCUCGAAGCAAAAACGUCAAGAGCUGGAUCUUGAGAAGACGCUAGAAACCGGGGCGCUCCACAGCAGCAGUCGGCAGCUGCUCUCUGUAAAUGAACUCUUCCGCGUGCCUCCAUCUCACCUGAGACCUAACGCUAAUCACCGUCAGAUGCACCUAGAGCUGGCCUUCUCUGUAGUCAGCAAGCCCCAUGUGGUCCUGCACGGUGGUCAGCCAAGUGUCACACCCCGGCCAUCUGACCUCCCUCCAUGUUCCUGAGGCCGGCUUCACCGAAGCCACUUGCAUUCACUCUGGCACUUGAGAAAGGACUCGUUUUCUGUUACGAAAUAUCGGGAAGGCCAGACAAAAAUCGCCAAGGCCGAAGUCCGGGCAGAUAGCAACCUCCCACCCUUAAAGAAAGAAAUAGGCAUUAUGUACAUAAUAGUCAGGGAGGGGAAGAAUACCCUUUAAAAAUAUUAAGCGUUGUUAAAAUACGCUCA